rnacentral:rRNA from 1 species
CACGUAGUUAGCCGGGGCUUCUUAGUCAGGUACCGUCAUUUUCUUCCCUGCUGAUAGAGCUUUACAUACCGAAAUACUUCCUCACUCACGCGGCGUCGCUGCAUCAGGGUUUCCCCCAUUGUGCAAUAUUCCCCACUGCUGCCUCCCGUAGGAGUUUGGGCCGUGUCUCAGUCCCAAUGUGGCCGGUCGCCCCCUCAGGUCGGCUACUGAUCGUCGGCUUGGUAGGCUUCUACCCCACCAACUACCUAAUCAGACGCGGGCCCAUCUUACACCACCUCAGUUUUUACCACUGUACCAUGCAGUACCGUGGUCUUAUGCGGUAUUAGCAAUCAUUUCUAAUUGUUAUCCCCCUGUGUAAGGCAGGUUGCCCACGCGUUACUCACCCGUCCGCCGCUAAGUCACCCUCUCUUCCCUCCGAAGAGUUCUAAAAAGUGCUUCGCUCGACUUGCAUGUGUUAAGCACGCCGCCAGCGUUCAUCCUGAGCCAGGAUCAAACUCU